CCUACGGGCUGCAGCAGUGGGGAAUAUUGCGCAAUGGGCGCAAGCCUGAUGCAGCCAUGCCGCGUGUAUGAAGAAGGCCUUCGGGUUGUAAAGUACCUUCAGCGGGGAGGAAGGCGAUAAGGUUAAUAACCUUGUCGAUUGACGUUACCCGCAGAAGGAGCACCGGCUAACUCCGUGCCAGCAGCCGCGGUAAUACGGAGGGUGCAAGCGUUAAUCGGAAUUACUGGGCGUAAAGCGCACGCAGGCGGUCUGUCAAGUCGGAUGUGAAAUCCCCGGGCUCAACCUGGGAACUGCAUUCGAAACUGGCAGGCUAGAGUCUUGUAGAGGGGGGUAGAAUUCCAGGUGUAGCGGUGAAAUGCGUAGAGAUCUGGAGGAAUACUGGUGGCGAAGGCGGCCCCCUGGACAAAGACUGACGCUGAGGCGCGAAAGCGUGGGGAGCAAACAGGAUUAGAUACCCGUGUAGUC
rnacentral:rRNA from 1 species